rnacentral:rRNA from 1 species
UUCGUAGGUGAACCUGCGGAAGGAUCAUUAACGAAAUUAUAAUCCGGCGAGGGGAAGGCGGCAGAGCUGUGGCUGGCCUCUUUACCGAGGCAUGUGCACGCUCUCUUCUGGACUUUCGCCGUAUGGGCGUGUGGGGGCCUGCCCCCCCCGCGUCUUCAUAUACCUCUUCGUGUAGAAAGUCUUUGAAUGUUUUUACCAUCAUCGAGUCGCGACUUCUAGGAGACGCGAUUCUUUGAGACAAAAGUUAUUACAACUUUCAGCAAUGGAUCUCUUGGCUCUCGCAUCGAUGAAGAACGCAGCGAAUCGCGAUAUGUAAUGUGAAUUGCAGAUCUACAGUGAAUCAUCGAAUCUUUGAACGCACCUUGCGCUCCUCGGUGUUCCGAGGAGCAUGCCUGUUUGAGUGUCAGUGAAUUCUCAACCCCUCUCGAUUUGCUUCGAGCGGGUGCUUGGAUCGUGGGGGCUGCCGGAGACCUGGAUUUAUUCAGGACUCGGGCUCCCCUGAAAUGCAUCGGCUUGCGGUCGACUUUCGACUUUGCGCGACAAGGCCUUCGGCGUGAUAAUGAUCGCCGUUCGCUGAAGCGCAUGAACGAAAGGUCCCGUGCCUCCAAUGCGUCGACGCCUUCCGGCGUCUUCCUCGUUGACUUUUGACCUCAAAUCAGGUUGGACUACCCGCUGAACUUAAGCAUAUCAAUAAGCGGAGGA